rnacentral:tmRNA from 1 species
GGGGCUGAUUCUGGAUUCGACGGGAUUUGCGAAACCCAAGGUGCAUGCCGAGGGGCGGUUGGCCUCGUAAAAAGCCGCAAAAAAAUAGUCGCAAACGACGAAAACUACGCUUUAGCAGCUUAAUAACCUGCUUAGAGCCCUCUCUCCCUAGCCUCCGCUCUUAGGACGGGGAUCAAGAGAGGUCAAACCCAAAAGAGAUCGCGCGGAUGCCCUGCCUGGGGUUGAAGCGUUAAAACGAAUCAGGCUAGUCUGGUAGUGGCGUGUCCGUCCGCAGGUGCCAGGCGAAUGUAAAGACUGACUAAGCAUGUAGUACCGAGGAUGUAGGAAUUUCGGACGCGGGUUCAACUCCCGCCAGCCCAAAU